ensembl:lncRNA
UAAGUCUCCUGUGUGCUGAGUCACGUGUUCCCUUUACUGGAGAGAAGUUCUCAAUGAAGUCAUUUGCAGUUAUAAACUUCUCCUUACGUACUGAUUUAGCUGCAUUCCACAAGUUUUGUAUAUAGUAUUUUCAUUAUGGUUCAAGUCUAAGCGUUGUCUAAAGUUUUGUGUUUUUUUUUUUUUAAGGUAUUGUUCUUUAAUUUUACUUAUUUAUUUGUUUUGGCUGUGCUGGGUUUUUGUGGCUGCAUGGCCUUUUCUCUAGCUGCGGUGCUCGGGCUUCUCACUGUGGUGGUUUCUCUUGUUAUGGAGCACAGGUUCUAGGAUGCGUGGGCUCAGUAGUUGCGGUUCCUGGGCUCUAGAGCAUAGGCUCAGUAGUUGUGUAGUGCAUGGGCUCAGCCAUUCCACGACAUGUGGAAUCUUCCCAGACCAGGGAUGGAAUCCAUGUCUCCUGCAUUGUACUUUGGCCACCUGAUGCGAAGAGGCAACUUAGUGGAAAAGACCCUCAUCCUGGGAAAGAUUGAGGGCAGGAGGAGAGGGGGACGACAGAGGAUGAGAUGGUUGGACGGCAUCACUGAUUCAAUGAACAUGAGUUUGAGCAAGCUCCAGGAGAUGGUGAAAGGACAGGGACGCCUGGUGUGCUGCAGUCCAUGGG